GGCGACGGUUGUCCCGGUUUAAGCGUGUAGGCUGGUUUUCCAGGCAAAUCCGGAAAAUCAAGGCUGAGGCGUGAUGACGAGGCACUACGGUGCUGAAGCGACAAAUGCCCUGCUUCCAGGAAAAGCCUCUAAGCAUCAGGUAACAUCAAAUCGUACCCCAAACCGACACAGGUGGUCAGGUAGAGAAUACCAAGGCGCUUGAGAGAACUCGGGUGAAGGAACUAGGCAAAAUGGUGCCGUAACUUCGGGAGAAGGCACGCUGAUAUGUAGGUGAAGCGACUUGCUCGUGGAGCUGAAAUCAGUCGAAGAUACCAGCUGGCUGCAACUGUUUAUUAAAAACACAGCACUGUGCAAACACGAAAGUGGACGUAUACGGUGUGACGCCUGCCCGGUGCCGGAAGGUUAAUUGAUGGGGUUAGCGGUAACGCGAAGCUCUUGAUCGAAGCCCCGGUAAACGGCGGCCGUAACUAUAACGGUCCUAAGGUAGCGAAAUUCCUUGUCGGGUAAGUUCCGACCUGCACGAAUGGCGUAAUGAUGGCCAGGCUGUCUCCACCCGAGACUCAGUGAAAUUGAACUCGCUGUGAAGAUGCAGUGUACCCGCGGCAAGACGGAAAGACCCCGUGAACCUUUACUAUAGCUUGACACUGAACAUUGAGCCUUGAUGUGUAGGAUAGGUGGGAGGCUUUGAAGUGUGGACGCCAGUCUGCAUGGAGCCGACCUUGAAAUACCACCCUUUAAUGUUUGAUGUUCUAACGUGGGCCCCUUACCGGGGUUGCGGACAGUGUCUGGUGGGUAGUUUGACUGGGGCGGUCUCCUCCUAAAGAGUAACGGAGGAGCACGAAGGUUGGCUAAUCCUGGUCGGACAUCAGGAGGUUAGUGCAAUGGCAUAAGCCAGCUUGACUGCGAGCGUGACGGCGCGAGCAGGUGCGAAAGCAGGUCAUAGUGAUCCGGUGGUUCUGAAUGGAAGGGCCAUCGCUCAACGGAUAAAAGGUACUCCGGGGAUAACAGGCUGAUACCGCCCAAGAGUUCAUAUCGACGGCGGUGUUUGGCACCUCGAUGUCGGCUCAUCACAUCCUGGGGCUGAAGUAGGUCCCAAGGGUAUGGCUGUUCGCCAUUUAAAGUGGUACGCGAGCUGGGUUUAGAACGUCGUGAGACAGUUCGGUCCCUAUCUGCCGUGGGCGCUGGAGAACUGAGGGGGGCUGCUCCUAGUACGAGAGGACCGGAGUGGACGCAUCACUGGUGUUCGGGUUGUCAUGCCAAUGGCACUGCCCGGUAGCUAAAUGCGGAAGAGAUAAGUGCUGAAAGCAUCUAAGCACGAAACUUGCCCCGAGAUGAGUUCUCCCUGACUCCUUGAGAGUCCUGAAGGAACGUUGAAGACGACGACGUUGAUAGGCCGGGUGUGUAAGCGCAGCGAUGCGUUGAGCUAACCGGUACUAAUGAACCGUGAGGCUUAACCUUACAACGCCGAAG
rnacentral:rRNA from 1 species